rnacentral:rRNA from 1 species
GGCUUGUUGAUUUUUUUGUAUAAUAAGUCUAACCUGCCCACUGAAAAUUUUAAAGGCUGCAGUAUCCUGACUGUACGAAGGUAGCAUAAUAAUUUGUCUUAUAAUUGAAGAAUGGAAUGAAUGGUUUGACAAGGGUGGAUCUGUCUCUUAAAUAUUUAUUUGAAGUUAAUUUUUAGGUUAAAAAGCCUAAAUAAAAUUAAAGGACGAGAAGACCCUAUUGAGCUUUAAUGAAUAAAUUAAUAAUAGUGAUAUUCAAAUUAAUUAUAAAUUUAUGAAUUUUAGUUGGGGCGACUAAGGAACAUAUAAAACUUCUUUUUUUACUAAAAAAAGCUGUUUUUUGAUCCAAUAUUUUUGAAUUAAAAUCAAGCUACCAUAGGGAUAACAGCGUUAUCUUUUUAGAGAGUUCUUAUCGAAAAAAAGGAUUGCGACCUCGAUGUUGGAUUAAAAUAUAAUAAAGGUUGUAGAAGCUUUUAUGAUUAGUCUGUUCGACUAUUAAAAUUUU